rnacentral:rRNA from 1 species
CAAUGAAAGUGAACGGAGGUGAGAGCCCCUCGGGGCGCAUCAUCGACCGAUCCUGAUGUCUUCGGAUGGAUUUGAGUAAGAGCAUAACUGUUCGGACCCGAAAGAUGGUGAACUAUGCGUGGAUAGGGUGAAGCCAGAGGAAACUCUGGUGGAGGCUCGCAGCGGUUCUGACGUGCAAAUCGAUCGUCAAAUCUGCGCAUGGGGGCGAAAGACUUAUCGAACCAUCUAGUAGCUGGUUACCGCCGAAGUUUCCCUCAGGAUAGCAGUGUUGUUCUUCAGUUUUAUGAGGUAAAGCGAAUGAUUAGGGACUCGGGGGCGCUUUUUAGCCUUCAUCCAUUCUCAAACUUUAAAUAUGUAAGAAGCCCUUGUUGCUUAGUUGAACGUGGGCAUUCGAAUGUACCAACACUAGUGGGCCAUUUUUGGUAAGCAGAACUGGCGAUGCGGGAUGAACCGAACGCGGGGUUAAGGUGCCGGAGUGGACGCUCAUCAGACACCACAAAAGGUGUUAGCACAUUUAGACAAUAGGACGGUGGCCAUGGAAGUCGGAAUCCGCUAAGGACUGUGUAACAACUCACCUAUCGAAUGUGCUAGCCCUGAAAAUGGAUGGCGCUCAAGCGUCCCACCCAUACCUCGCCCUCAGGGUAGGAACGGUGCCCUGAGGAGUAGGCGGCCGUGGGAGGUCAGUGACGAAGCCUAGGCGGAGCCCCGU